UACGUAGGGUGCGAGCGUUAAUCGGAAUUACUGGGCGUAAAGCGUGCGCAGGCGGUUUUGUAAGCCAGAUGUGAAAUCCCCGGGCUUAACCUGGGAAUGGCAUUUGGGACUGCAAGGCUCGAGUCCGGAAGAGGCGAGUGGAAUUCCCGGUGUAGCGGUGAAAUGCGCAGAUAUCGGGAGGAACACCAAUGGCGAAGGCAGCUCGCUGGGACGGUACUGACGCUGAGACGCGAAAGCGUGGGGAGCAAACAGG
rnacentral:rRNA from 1 species